AUGGGUGUGUGUGCACAUGUAUUUCUGUGUCUGUGUCUCUGCACGUAUGCAUGUGUGUGUCUGGUAUAUUUAAAUGUAAUGUGUGUGUCUGUGUGCACACAUACUGUAUGUGAGUCUGGGUGUGUAUAUGGACACGUCUGUGCCCCUGUGCAUGGGGCUGUGUUUCUGUGUGUGUUCUUGUAUAUACAUGGAUGUGAGUGUCCACACAUAGAAUACAGGCGUAUGUGGGUGUGUGUGUCCGUGUGUGGGUGCAUUUCUGUGUGUGUCUAUGCAUCUGUGAGUGCGCGCAUGAGGGUGAGUGUGCAUGUUUCCAUGUGUCUCUCUGCCUCCAUGAGUAUGUGUGUGUCUGCGUGUGUGCAUGUGUGUGUGCCUGGCUCCCUGGGUGUGUGGGACCCAGGCUCACACACAGGACCAGGGACGAGGGGACUGAUGACAUGGGAAGGAGCUGGUGGCCCCCUGGUCCCCUCCCUGUGCAAUCUCACUGAGCUGGCUCUAGGGACCUUUUGGAGAAGGGAUGGGAAGUCCUCGCCCUCAGAGGACGGUCACAGCCCCGUCACAGUGAGGCUCAGGGUGGUGGCGGCUGGCCAAGCUCACCCUCCUGGCUGGGUGGGAUGCCCCUGCAUCAGGCCAUGCCCUCACCUCCGUGGCAGGCCACCUCCCCCCGCCUCUCCCCGGGGCCCAGGCAACGGUGGCCCCAGUCCUCAGCGUCUCGGUUUCCCCAUCUGUGCAGUGGGGACACUGAAUGGGCACCUCAUGGGUACAGAGACCACCCCUGAGGAGCGGGGUCAGCAGCCCGGACGUCAGCAGUUGUGGUCAUUAUUGUCACUUGCACUUACUGCUGCUGUGACCGGGAGCUGCCUCCUGUGUGCAGGGACGCUGGCCCUGCGUCCCCGGCUGCCCCUGAGCUCCACGCGGCCCGGCGACUUUGGAAACCCUCUCCCGGGUCUGCCACCAUCCAGAGCCCUCAACACUGGGACCCAGGAGGAUGUUUAUGAGGCCAUAGGCCUGUCCCAGAGGCUGCCACCAGCCGAUAGUGACAGGAAGCGGGCUGGCCGCCAGUGGCCCUGCAGAUAA
rnacentral:lncRNA from 1 species